CAGUAGCCGCGGUAAUACGAAGGGGGCUAGCGUUGCUCGGAAUGACUGGGCGUAAAGGGCGCGUAGGCGGUCACGAUAGUCAGAUGUGAAAUUCCUGGGCUUAACCUGGGGACUGCAUUUGAUACUGUGUGGCUUGAGUGUGGAAGAGGGUCGUGGAAUUCCCAGUGUAGAGGUGAAAUUCGUAGAGAUCAGGAGGAACACCGAUGGCGAAGGCAGCCCCCUGGGCCUGUACUGACGCUCAUGCACGAAAGCGUGGGGAGCAAACAGGAUUAGAUACCCGGGUAGUCCCUGUCUCUUAUAC
rnacentral:rRNA from 1 species